UGAUUUUCACUACGCUGGGGGCGUAGCCCAUCACGCGCCGCGUGAUGGAGCUCACAGGGAGCCAAGAUUUUCACUUUGAUCACGCGCGGCGUGAUAACUGACCACGCGCGGCGUGAACCUUUGUGCAGGAACUGGUUGCUCUCUGACUUCACCACGCGCGGCGUAGCUUCGAUCACGCGCGGCGUGAAGUCUUGAUUGAAGAAGAAGAUUGCCUCUGACUUGAUCACGCGCCGCGUGAUUCUGUUAUCACGCGCGGCAUAGUGAUGGAUUUGCAACCACGCGCGGCGUGAUAGAUCUGACGCGCGGCGUGGUUGCGUUCUGUAUAUAUAUUUUCUGCAUAAUUCUGUUUCGGGGUUGGAAAAUUCUGC
rnacentral:lncRNA from 1 species